CCCUCUAGCGAACUACUACUUUGCUGUGCUUAGUCGGAAUUGUUGAGGGGCGGGGGUUGCAUGCAACAGGAACAACUAUCGGACAUGGGGUGGAGAGGAGGACUUUACAAACCUGUUGGUUUUAUAACCUUCAUUUAUCACAAAAAGUUAUUUUGAUAUGAUUUUAGGUGAGAAAGUUAACCUUGUCAGACCCAGCAGAGCCAGAGACCAGCUCACAGGCGGGCCUGACCAAGUAGUCCUGCUCGCAGCUGUUGCCUGUUGCUACUACUUCGAUCAGGAAUUUAACGCAAUGUGAAACAACAGAAUUUUUAAAGUGUAACAUCAUUUGUGCUUUUCUUUAUUCAUUUGACAUUCUGAAGCACAAUAAAUGUCUUGUGUUUUGUCAGGUUGUUGAAAAGGAUGAUGCAGAAAGAGAGCUUCAGCAGUGCACAAUGGCCGUGUUUGUCAUCAGGGAGGAAGAGGAUCCGUUAAAGACACCAUGUGACAUAGGCAUCAUUAUUGAAGGUGAUUUACAUCUGAGCCGAUUACUACCCUUCAUAAUGAGCUGGAACCAGGGGGAGGGCAUCAGUUCAUUAACCCUCCUGCAUGAACCCUGGAUACCAAGACCACACCUCAAAAACCACAUAACUCUGAACACUCCUCUGAGGUGUUCAUAGCCAGCCUCCUUGAAUCCAUGAAGCCUCGGACCCAUACUCUGCGUAAGCCCUCCUGCCUGAGCUCUCCUGCCUGUCCACCCUCUGACACCACGCCUGGAGAACACCCACCCAACGUGCACCUUCCACCCGGACCACUGGACAUCACCCUCCUAAGCCUGAACCAAGCCACCUCCUCAGUGUGUCCCCAUGCUCUUCACAAUUCUCUUCAUUGAAACCAGAACCUUCCAGUGGCUCACCUCACCUUUCCCAGCAGAACCCGGAAAACGCAGCCAGCCGACAUCAUCUCUGCUGAGACCACAACCUUUCAAUAAAAACUCUUAACUGAUCAUUGCCUCCGUGAUUGCGCUCAUUCAGGGUCUUCCUUCGUUAACAUGUGAAAGGGUUUUUAGAAUGUUCUGAAAUGUUCUGGGGUGUUUUGGUGUUGGGAACAUAAGGAUAACUGAACUCUGUGAUAUAAACUUGGCUCUGUAUUUCAUCAACAUUGGACACCGGAGUUAGAAGCUAGAGGCCUAUGAAGGGAGGAAGGAGACAACAGGGCCUGGUUUAACUGUUUGUUGCUGCCAAAGAACUGAGCAUCUUCCUUACAAAGUUGAGAGUGAUAAAAUGUUUAGCUAUUCUUGUAUACACAGUGUAAGAGUAUUCCAUCUAGGGAAGAAGGAAAACAUCUGUUUGGAUACGUGACGCACACAUAUACACACCCAUAUGAGAGAACAACCCUAUAAGAGGAAGUCAAAGCAUGUAAUGCUCGGGAUUUUGGUUGGUUUCUGUUCAAUGAAGAUGUGACUGUAAAAUAAUCCC